UACCAUUUUCUCGUAUUACUUGGUUUAUGAUUGUUACAACCAUCUAAUAUCUUUAAUUUUAAUUUUGAGGGUUUUGUAGUUAACAACUUAUCUGCAAUGGGUCGAUGAUGAUAUUAUUGGAGGUGUUCCUGGUGGCUGUCCUAACAAUUAAAAAUUAUUAAAGGUUUGCAUGGCUUACGUUAUGCAAGGUCUUCGAUAAGAAUUUUUUUGCAGGAUAUAAAUGGGCCUGUGAGAUUGAAAUACCUAAUUACUUUCUUCUCUGUUAUUAGUUUUUUUUGCGUUUUUAAAUUUCAAUAUUUUCCCUUCUAGAAACCCCAACAUUUACAUAACAAUAAUACUCACUACUCUAUUAGCAAGAUUAACCACAAAUGUUGUAUCCGGUGGGAGAAAAAACUGAUAACAGAUAUUGAGAAAAAACGGGAGCAUCGCUAUUCUUUCGUCAUUAAUGGUCGAAUGAAUUAGUUGGAAAUUAUUGUCCAGUAGGAAUUGGAUCUUUUCUUCUUCGUUACUUACCUGGUUUAUUAAAGUCGGUGCUUGUGGAGAUUGGGUCAGCAAAUAUAUUUGUAUCGGUCUGUUGGUUUGUCUUAUGCUCGCUGGAGCUUGGUUGGGUUAUUGGGUGGUACCUAAACAUUUUCUAACACAAGAAGGAUCCAAUGAUUCAAGUACAGCUAUUUUCGUCGCUUGGUCAAUUCGCAGCUGUCAUGAUUAUUCAGCUAUAACAUUAACAAGUUGGCAUCUAAUGGUUACAAUUUGCACACUUCAUGUGGCACGAAGAUUCAAUGUUUUUGAGACCAAGGAAAUUGAUACCGAAACGGUAAUGCUUUGGUAUCCUAAAUGGCGUGUCUACUGACCUUCUCAAUUUAUGUCUUGGGUUCAAUUCCACUGGAUUCUACCAGAUGACGAAACUUGCAAUAAUACCCUUUACUGUACUGUCGGAGACCCUGUUCCUUAACAAGGUGAGUUUAUCUGUUGUUCAAGUUUGUAUAAGCAAUUGUAUUUGUUUUGUCAAUGUAUAAACUCUGUCUCAGCCAUGGACUAUCAAAGUUUAUACUUUUGUAAUCCAUGCGUAGUUAACCAGAGAUGUUAGACUAAGUUCAGGGGUAACAAGGUACACAAUGGCUCCAUUUAUUUUCUUAUGUUUGUCUUAAGAACCUGCAAUUUUUAUUUCUCCGCAUAAAGGAUCUUCAAGUAGUUGAAACCUCGGAAUGAAUUAAUGGUUUGUGGACAUUUAACUUGUACAAACUUCUAGUUGAAUUUUUUUUUAUGAAUCAAUCUGUUCAGAAUACUUAAAGAGUAAUCCCUUGUUAGCAUACCCUAGCAUCUCUUGUAUUAGUCUUGUACACAAUCUUUUUAUGUGUAGGUCAAGCUAUGCAUGGCGAAGGAAUUGCACAUUGUUUUUUCUGUUAUCUCUGAAUAGUCCAUUCUUGUCAUGUUGAAAUUAGUUUCUAAACUAAUGCACAAGCUUAUUUUUGCUGCAAGUAUGCGAUUCUGAGUUGUGCGGCUCAGUUCGUCAUCAGAUAGUUUAUCAUUUUGUUAUUUUUUACUUAAUUAUCUUUAAGAAAACUUUGAACUUGUAUUGGUUAUUCAGGUUUUGUUUAUAAUUUUUUGGUGAUUAUGAAU